rnacentral:rRNA from 1 species
UUAACACAUGCAAGUCGAGGGGCAGCAUUUUAGUUUGCUUGCAAACUGAAGAUGGCGACCGGCGCACGGGUGAGUAGCACGUAUCCAACCUGCCGAUAACUCCGGGAUAGCCUUUCGAAAGAAAGAUUAAUACCGGAUGGCAUACGAAUAUCGCAUGAUAUUUUUAUUAAAGAAUUUCGGUUAUCGAUGGGGAUGCGUUCCAUUAGUUUGUUGGCGGGGUAACGGCCCACCAAGACUACGAUGGAUAGGGGUUCUGAGAGGAAGGUCCCCCACAUUGGAACUGAGACACGGUCCAAACUCCUACGGGAGGCAGCAGUGAGGAAUAUUGGUCAAUGGGCGAGAGCCUGAACCAGCCAAGUAGCGUGAAGGAUGAAGGCUCUAUGGGUCGUAAACUUCUUUUAUAUGGGAAUAAAGUUUUCCACGUGUGGAAUUUUGUAUGUACCAUAUGAAUAAGGAUCGGCUAACUCCGUGCCAGCAGCCGCGGUAAUACGGAGGAUCCGAGCGUUAUCCGGAUUUAUUGGGUUUAAAGGGAGCGUAGGUGGAUUGUUAAGUCAGUUGUGAAAGUUUGCGGCUCAACCGUAAAAUUGCAGUUGAAACUGGCAGUCUUGAGUACAGUAGAGGUGGGCGGAAUUCGUGGUGUAGCGGUGAAAUGCUUAGAUAUCACGAAGAACUCCGAUUGCGAA